UUAUCCUCCCUCAAACCUCGCGUUUGGUGUUGGGUCGGGUUGGUCCUCUGCGACCAACUGGCCUCAAAGACAAUGACGGCGUCCGUGGGACCCUCGGUGCAACGAGCUUCUUCGUGAGCACGCACCGAGUUGCAAGGACCUUCCGGGCCGGUCUGACCUGUUACUACUUCUCAGGUUGACCUCGGAUCAGGUAGGAAUACCCGCUGAACUUAAGCAUAUCAAUAA
rnacentral:rRNA from 1 species